AGCGAACGCUGGCGGCAGGCCUAACACAUGCAAGUCGAACGAACCUUUCGGGGUUAGUGGCGGACGGGUGAGUAACACGUGGGAACGUGCCUUUAGGUUCGGAAUAACUCAGGGAAACUUGUGCUAAUACCGAAUGUGCCCUUCGGGGGAAAGAUUUAUCGCCUUUAGAGCGGCCCGCGUCUGAUUAGCUAGUUGGUUGAGGUAAUGGCUCACCAAGGCGACGAUCAGUAGCUGGUCUGAGAGGAUGAUCAGCCACAUUGGGACUGAGACACGGCCCAAACUCCUACGGGAAGCGGCAGUGGGGAAUCUUGCGCAAUGGGCGAAAGCCUGACGCAGCCAUGCCGCGUGAAUGAUGAAGGUCUUAGGAUUGUAAAAUUCUUUCACCGGGGACGAUAAUGACGGUACCCGGAGAAGAAGCCCCGGCUAACUUCGUG
rnacentral:rRNA from 1 species